rnacentral:rRNA from 1 species
GAUGAACGCUGGCGGCGUGCCUAAUACAUGCAAGUCGAGCGAACGGACGAGAAGCUUGCUUCUCUGAUGUUAGCGGCGGACGGGUGAGUAACACGUGGAUAACCUACCUAUAAGACUGGGAUAACUUCGGGAAACCGGAGCUAAUACCGGAUAAUAUUUUGAACCGCAUGGUUCAAAAGUGAAAGACGGUCUUGCCGUCACUUAUAGAUGGAUCCGCGCUGCAUUAGCUAGUUGGUAAGGUAACGGCUUACCAAGGCAACGAUGCAUAGCCGACCUGAGAGGGUGAUCCGGCACACUGGAACUGAGACACGGUCCAGACUCCUACGGGAGGCAGCAGUAGGGAAUCUUCCGCAAUGGGCGAAAGCCUGACGGAGCAACGCCGCGUGAGUGAUGAAGGUCUUCGGAUCGUAAAACUCUGUUAUUAGGGAAGAACAUAUGUGUAAGUAACUGUGCACAUCUUGACGGUACCUAAUCAGAAAGCCACGGCUAACUACGUG